CAGUCGCCGCGGGAAUACGUAGGGGGCAAGCGUUAUUCGGAAUUACUGGGUGUAAAGGGAGCGUAGACGGUUAAACAAGUCUGAAGUGAAAUGCCGGGGCUCAACCCCGGAGCUGCUUUGGGAACUGUAGAACUGGAGUGUCGGAGGGGUAAGCGGAAUUCCCGGUGUAGCGGUGAAAUGCGUAGAUAUUGGGAGGAACACCGGCGGCGAAGGCGGCUUACUGGACGACAACUGACGUUGAGGCUCGAAGGCGUGGGUAGCAAACAGGAUUAGAUACCCCCGUAGUCCCUGUCUCUUAUAC
rnacentral:rRNA from 1 species